rnacentral:rRNA from 1 species
UACAGAGGUCCCAAGCGUUGUUCGGAUUCAUUGGGCGUAAAGGGUGCGUAGGUGGCGUCGUAAGUCGGGUGUGAAAUCUCGGGGCUUAACUCCGAAACUGCAUUCGAUACUGCGGUGCUUGAGGACUGGAGAGGAGACUGGAAUUUACGGUGUAGCGGUGAAAUGCGUAGAUAUCGUAAGGAAGACCAGUGGCGAAGGCGGGUCUCUGGACAGUUCCUGACGCUGAGGCACGAAGGUCAGGGGAGCAAACGGG